GCACCGAUAGCUCAGUGUCAGAGCGGUGGGGCGUUAAUUACCCAUGCGGCCCGGGUUCGAUCUCCGUUCGAUGUA